rnacentral:rRNA from 1 species
AACGAACGCUGGCGGCAUGCCUAACACAUGCAAGUCGAACGAUGCUUUCGGGCAUAGUGGCGCACGGGUGCGUAACGCGUGGGAAUCUGCCCUUGGGUUCGGAAUAACAGUGAGAAAUUGCUGCUAAUACCGGAUGAUGUCUUCGGACCAAAGAUUUAUCGCCCAGGGAUGAGCCCGCGUAGGAUUAGCUAGUUGGUGGGGUAAUGGCCUACCAAGGCGACGAUCCUUAGCUGGUCUGAGAGGAUGAUCAGCCACACUGGGACUGAGACACGGCCCAGACUCCUACGGGAGGCAGCAGUGGGGAAUAUUGGACAAUGGGCGCAAGCCUGAUCCAGCAAUGCCGCAUGAGUGAUGAAGGCCUUAGGGUUGUAAAGCUCUUUUACCCGGGAUGAUAAGGACAGUACCGGGAGAAUAAGCUCCGGCUAACUCCGU